GGAAGCUCUCAAACAAUGAUAAAGCGCAGCGGCAGAUAGCGCGCAAUCUCAGCGAGCGCCGCCAGUCGACAUCUGCGCGUAACCCGCACCACACGAGGUCACGCGAGGUCACCGCGCAACAACAGAAGCAGUCCAACCUCCACGCUACACAUUACCGUACGUAUUGCUAGUUUACUCUCAGAGGUUAUAAUGCGUUACGUUAGCAUAAUACUAGCGUGCUCACUUGUAGUGGCGGCGAAAGCGGCGACCUUGAACGCGCCGAGCAACAGCAUGGCAUCCGUGGACUACAAAAAGGUUCCGAUUAAGGAAAAACCGUUAUUCCAGCCACCUCUGCAGGAAAUAGUAGACGUGUUGUCUGCGGGACUGACCAGCACCUUCGAGACAGUCAGCGUGUCGGCGGAGGACUCCCCGGACCUGACGCAGUCGCCUUACAACCUCACAUCACCAGGUCUGACAGGGAAUGCCAGGCUAGUGGAGAUCGGCGGUCCUCCGUACCUGCUGCCGCUGGUGCAGCGUGACAAGCUCUACGACCUGGCGGCGCUGGCGCAGCACCUGCACCGGGACCCCGCGCUGCUGGCAGGCGCCGGCGCCGGGCCCUGGCCGCACCUCGGCGUUAAUUGCGAGGGUAUAAUAAACCUGAGCAUCCGCAACGGCACAGUGGAUCAGGGCACGCGGAUAGUGUCGGUGGAGCCUGUGGGCGCGGCGAAGGGUAGCAGCGGGUACCUGCAGCGACAGCUGCCCAACACCGAGACGCGCACCGCGCUGCUCGGCAACUACCUGCUCAGCGAGGGCAAGCCGGGCAAGGUGAUAAAAGUAGUUGCCAAGAAACGGAUCGGUUCAUCCAAUUUCAUCACUGCCAUCAGAGAGACGCUUAAAAACCAUUAUGGCGACAAAGUUGUUGGUCUGGGCGGCAUGUUCCUGCUGCGCGCCGGCAAGGUGAAGUUCCACGUGAUGCCGGACUUCUCCAGCACAGCGUUGUGCACGGACGAAGACGUCGACUCCUGGCUGCAUUUCUUCGAGAUGAGUGCGCCCAUCACCCAUGUCGGCACCCUCGUCACCGGAGACCAUGGGCUGGACCUGCGCGUGCAGCACUUCCACGGGUUCAGCGCGCACGGCGACGGCGGGCACUACCACUACGACACGACGCCGGAGGAGGUGCAGUACGAGGGGUACUUCGCGCUCGCCUCGCACAUCAUCCGCGUGGACGCGCCCGAGCAGACACACGCCGUCGGACGCGACUAGCUCACAUACAUGUACAUAUUAUUGCUCAACUGUAGGACAGAAACGCAACAGAUUGAGAGGAUUGCUGUACUUAUUUAUUCAUGUCCAUCAUUUCACAUAGAAAAAGGUGUGAAACAGGGUGAUCCACUGUCACCAAACCUCUUCACCAGUACGUUGGAGGAAGUUUUUAAAAAGCUCACUGCGCCGUGGACAGAUAAAGGCAUCGUCGUCGGGAGCAAAAGGCUGACCAACCUGCGAUUUGCUGAUGAUAUCAUCCUUUUUGCGUCCACAUGGGAAGAGCUCCAACAGAUGCUCCAAGAUCUGAGCACAGCAAGCCGAGAGGUUGGACUUCAAAUGAACAUGACCAAGACACACACAAUGACCAACAGCACGAAACGUAGGGUAGAGGUAGAUGGGCAAGCUUUACACUAUGUCGACGAGUACAUCUACUGGGGCUAGCUAGUUUCUUUCGAAAACAGGCAGGAGAGGGAAAUCGACCGCCGCAUCGAAAACGCCUGGAAAAGCUACUGGUCCAUGAAGCAGUACAUGAAAGGGGACCUUCCCCUUUCACUCAAGCGAAAAUGCAUCUUCGACAUGUGCAUCUUGCCCGUCCUAACCUACGGUGCACAAACUUGGUCUCUCACGGAGUGUCAGAAGUCCAAACUCAAGGUUUGCCAAAGAGCAAUGGAGCGUAGCAUUCUGGGUAUCAAACGGACAGACCGCAUACGCAACACCGUCAUACGCUCCAAAACCGGAAUUUUCGAUGUGGGCCGAAAAGCAGCUCAAUUAAUAUGGAACUGGGCUGGGCACGUCAGCCGAAUGUAUCCUGACAGAUGGGCCAACAUCGUCACCCAGUGGUUGCCACAGGAUGGUCAUCGCAGGCGGGGUAGGCCCCGAAAGAGAUGGCGGGAUGACCUGGAUGCCUACAACCCUGAUUGGUGGGAGGUCUCAAAAGAUCGAGAGGUGUGGAGGCAAAAUGGGGAGGCCUUUGCCCAGCAGUGGGACAGUACGGGCUAAGAAAAAAAAAAAAAACGGCGGUAUUAUUCAAGAUUGUACAUAUAACAAAAAAGUACCUCAAUAAAUCUGUUGCAAGAAUGGAGAACAAAAUGA